rnacentral:rRNA from 1 species
UACGUAGGGUGCAAGCGUUGUCCGGAAUUAUUGGGCGUAAAGAGCUCGUAGGCGGUUUGUCGCGUCUGCUGUGAAAACUCGGGGCUCAACUCCGAGCUUGCAGUGGGUACGGGCAGACUAGAGUGCGGUAGGGGAGACUGGAAUUCCUGGUGUAGCGGUGGAAUGCGCAGAUAUCAGGAGGAACACCGGUGGCUAAGGCGGGUCUCUGGGCCGUAACUGACGCUGAGGAGCGAAAGCAUGGGGAGCGAACAGG